GUUUACGGCCAUACCAGCCUGGGUACGCCCGAUCUCGUCUGAUCUCGGAAGCUAAGCAGGUUCGGGCCUGGUUAGUACUUGGAUGGGAGACCGCCUGGGAAUACCAGGUGCUGUAAACU
ensembl:rRNA 5S_rRNA 5S ribosomal RNA